AACGCUAGCUACAGGCUUAACACAUGCAAGUCGAGGGGCAGCAGGGAUUUAGCUUGCUAAAUCCGCUGGCGACCGGCGCACGGGUGCGUAACGCGUAUCCAACUUUCCCGUUACUCAGGGAUAGCCUUCCGAAAGGGAGAUUAAUACCUGAUGGUGUUUGAAGUUCGCAUGUUCUUCAAACUAAAGAUUUAUCGGUAACGGAUAGGGAUGCGUGACAUUAGAUAGUAGGCGGGGUAACGGCCCACCUAGUCUACGAUGUCUAGGGGUUCUGAGAGGAAGGUCCCCCACACUGGAACUGAGACACGGUCCAGACUCCUACGGGAGGCAGCAGUGAGGAAUAUUGGUCAAUGGUCGGAAGACUGAACCAGCCAAGUAGCGUGAAGGAUGAAGGUUCUAUGGAUUGUAAACUUCUUUUAUAUAGGAAUAAAACCUCCCACGUGUGGGAGCUUGUAUGUACUAUAUGAAUAAGCAUCGGCUAACUCCGUGCCAGCAGCCGCGGUAAUACGGAGGAUGCGAGCGUUAUCCGGAUUUAUUGGGUUUAAAGGGAGCGUAGACGGGAUGUUAAGUCAGCUGUGAAAGUUUUGGGCUCAACCUUAAAAUUGCAGUUGAUACUGGCGUCCUUGAGUGCGGUUGAGGUAUGUGGAAUUCGUGGUGUAGCGGUGAAAUGCUUAGAUAUCACGAAGAACUCCGAUUG
rnacentral:rRNA from 1 species